rnacentral:rRNA from 1 species
AUUGAACGCUGGCGGCAGGCCUAACACAUGCAAGUCGAGCGGAUGAAGGGAGCUUGCUCCUGGAUUCAGCGGCGGACGGGUGAGUAAUGCCUAGGAAUCUGCCUGGUAGUGGGGGAUAACGUCCGGAAACGGGCGCUAAUACCGCAUACGUCCUGAGGGAGAAAGUGGGGGAUCUUCGGACCUCACGCUAUCAGAUGAGCCCAGGUCGGAUUAGCUAGUUGGUGGGGUAAAGGCCUACCAAGGCGACGAUCCGUAACUGGUCUGAGAGGAUGAUCAGUCACACUGGAACUUAGACACGGUCCAGACUCCUACGGGAGGCAGCAGUGGGGAAUAUUGGACGAUGGGCGAAAGCCUUCUCCAGCCAUGCCGCGUGUGUGAAGAAGAUCUUCAGAUUAUAAAGAUCUUGAAGUUGGGAGGAAGGGCAGUAAGUUAAUACCUUGCUGUUUUGACGUUACCAACAGAAUAAGCACCGGCUAACUUCGUG